CACGUAGGGGCCAAGCGUUGUCCGGAUUUAUUGGGCGUAAAGAGCUCGUAGGCGGUUCAGUCAGUCGGGUGUGAAAUCUCCGGGCUCAACCCGGAGGGGCCACCCGAUACUGCUGUGACUUGAGUCCGGUAGGGGAGCGGGGAAUUCCUGGUGUAGCGGUGAAAUGCGCAGAUAUCAGGAGGAACACCGGUGGCGAAGGCGUCGCGCUGGGCCGGUACUGACGCUGAGGAGCGAAAGCGUGGGGAGCAAACAGG
rnacentral:rRNA from 1 species